GGCCCCCCAAACAACACCUGCUCAGCCCGACAGAAGCUCUACACUACCUAGAGAACAAGCUAUGUAAAGAUAGGGACAUCCUGCAAUCCAGACUUCUCCGUGCCUUCUCUGACAAGCCGGAGCAAUAUGGUUGGGAAACCGGGAAGCAGAGUCUCAGCACCCAAACAGAGAGGAGCACAGGUAAUGCAGAGCUCCGAGGGACAUGGCAGCAGUGAGAGCUCUGAGAUUCCAGUUCACAGUUCACUCCUCCCUCACCGUACCACAUACCAUGGAAUCAUAAGAUAUUCAUUCUUGUGUAUCUGGAUUAACAUGUUGUUUCUGAGAAUAGAGAACUACUUUAAUGCCU
rnacentral:lncRNA from 1 species